GCCCAUUCCACAGGAUGGCAACCCAAAACCACGUAUGUUUAGGUUGCCAAAUGAAGGUGCUUUAAUCAAUAGGUGUGGCUUCAAUAGUGAAGGAAUUGUUGUGGUUGCCAAAAGAUUGGGUGCUCAGCAUGGUAAGAGAAAGUUGGAAACAUCUAGUACUUCAUCUCCAGCAGGAGAUGAAGUCAAGCAUGGAGGGAAAGCUGGUCCUGGUAUUCUUGGUGUUAACCUUGGAAAGAACAAGACAAGUGAA
rnacentral:misc_RNA from 1 species